UUGCUUUUGAAAGGUCAGCGGCGGACGGGUGAGUAACACGUGGGCAACCUGCCUGUAAGACUGGGAUAACUUCGGGAAACCGGAGCUAAUACCGGAUAAUAUAAGGAACCUCCUGGUUCUUUAUUGAAAGAUGGUUUCGGCUAUCACUUACAGAUGGGCCCGCGGCGCAUUAGCUAGUUGGUGAGGUAACGGCUCACCAAGGCGACGAUGCGUAGCCGACCUGAGAGGGUGAUCGGCCACACUGGGACUGAGACACGGCCCAGACUCCUACGGGAGGCAGCAGUAGGGAAUCUUCCACAAUGGACGAAAGUCUGAUGGAGCAACGCCGCGUGAGCGAUGAAGGCCUUCGGGUCGUAAAGCUCUGUUGUUAGGGAAGAACAAGUGCGAGAGUAACUGCUCGCACCUUGACGGUACCUAACCAGAAAGCCACGGCUAACUACGUGCCAGCAGCCGCGGUAAUACGUAGGUGGCAAGCGUUGUCCGGAAUUAUUGGGCGUAAAGCGCGCGCAGGUGGUCCUUUAAGUCUGAUGUGAAAGCCCACGGCUCAACCGUGGAGGGUCAUUGGAAACUGGGGGACUUGAGUGCAGAAGAGGAAAGUGG
rnacentral:rRNA from 1 species